AAUGCAGGCUUAUCCUAACCAGUAAGCGAUCCGGCGAAUAAUGUUUGCUGGCAGCACUGUCUACUAGUCAGUUGGACCAUCUGUUAUUAUCGUAAUCGUUGUUUUCAAAUCUUAAACAUAACGUAUAUUAUUAUAACAGUAUAGUGGUUCAUCCCGCGCAUCGUUAGAGCUUAUUAAUAUUACUGUGAAUUAUUAUUUUUAAUAAAUUUGUAGUACGAUUAUAGAAAAUUUUUAACUUAUUGCUCCUUGACGGAAAUCAACCGUAUGUUGAAUACUAUCUAAGUUUGACGUGUCAAUCUUGUUCGCUUACAGUGAAUUGUUCAAAUUUUAUUAGUAAUCUAUUUUAACUGAUGUUUGGAAAUGAACAGGAUAUAAACUGUUAAAACUUUUAGAACUUUCUGCAAUAUAAAAAAAAAACAAAGCACUGUAUUAAUCAUUUACAAUGGUUCUUAACAGAAGAAGUUUGGAAAAUUUAAAAAGAAUAGCUCCUCCUGGCCGAGGACGAGUAGUAACUCAGGAAGAAAAAAUGCGGGUGUUUGUACGAAUUAAACCUUUGUCUGAUGAAGAUGAUGUACCUAAACCUAAGACCAUACGAAUAAGAAAUGAAAAUGCAUUAAUAUUUGAUCCAAGACAAGAUGAAACACCUUUUUUUUUCCAUGGUGUUAAGCAAAAUCCUAGAGACAUUACAAAAAGACAACAUAAAUCAAUUAAAUAUGAUUUUCAUAGAGUUUUUGGACCACAGAGCACCAAUGAAGAUAUAUAUAAUGAAAGUACUAAAGAUUUGCUUGACAAACUUUUAAGCGGUUAUAACUGUUCUGUUUUCGUUUAUGGAGCAACAGGAGCUGGAAAAACAUUUACUAUGUUGGGUAAUGAAAAUAACUAUGGUAUUACCUAUUUAACUAUGAAAGAUUUGUAUACAAAAGUAAAUGAACAAAAAGAUUCAAAAAAAUUUGAAAUUUAUGUCUCUUAUCUUGAAGUAUAUAAUGAAAUGGUGUAUGACUUAUUGAUAAGUGAUAAAAAACCUUUAUUUUUACGUGAAUGUGGUAAUACAACUUCUGUUGCUGGUAUUACAAUAAAAAUGGUAAAUAAUGUUGAUGAACUCAUUGAAAUGCUACGUAGAGGCAAUGCUAAUCGUACACAACAUCCUACUGAUGCAAAUGCAGAAUCAUCUAGAUCACAUGCUUUGUUUCAAGUCUAUAUACAAAUGACAUAUAAACAUACAGACCAAGUAAAAAUGGCUAAGCUCUCCAUGGUUGACCUGGCUGGCUCUGAAAGGGCUUCAUCUAAUAAAGGAAUGAGAUUUAAAGAAGGAUCAAAUAUUAACAAGUCUCUUCUUGCUCUUGGAAACUGUAUCAAUAACUUAUCAGAUGGUUUGAGACAUAUACCUUACAGAGACUCAAAGUUAACAAGAUUAUUAAAAGAUUCUCUUGGUGGAAAUUGUAAGACUCUGAUGAUAUCAUGUGUAUCUCCUGCUUUAUCAUCCUAUGAGGAUACUCAUAAUACCUUAAAAUAUGCUUCUCGAGCUAUGAAAAUUAAAUCUAAUUUGAAGGAAAACGUUAUGUCAGUCAAUCAUCCUCAAUCGCAUUAUACAAAAAUCAUAUCUGGUCUAGAAGAAGAAAUUAAAAAUCUUAAAAUAAGAUAUGAAGAAACAUUGCUGUCUAAAGCACCAGUACCUCCAAAUAAUAUAGAAGAUCUAAGAUCAACAUUAGAGUCUUUAUUCACCAGAAAAUUAAAAAAACAUAUUGAAAUUCUUCAUUUGGAAUCUGCUCAGAAAAAAACUGAAUUAAGAAUAUUUUUAAAAAGAAAUUUACUUGAACGUGCUUCAUUAUUUAAUGCACAACAUUCUCAUGAAGUGAUAAGUGAGUUGAAUCGAAUUAACAUAGCUAUUCAACAAUUUGAAGGGCGUAUGACUAGUUUAAAUGCUCAAUUGAAUAUUUUGUGGGACGAAGCAAUCGCAGCUAACAAUGAAUUAAAUUUAUUUAUAAAACAACUGGAAACAAAUAAUGUUAAACAAUUUUUGGACAUUGAUAUUGUUCGCUGUAGUUCUCAAAUAAUCAUAGAAGAAGAAGUAAAUCUUAGUGAUCAUAGAAAUGAAAUUGGUAUGAUACUAGACAGUAAUCUUAAUAUAAGUCAGGAACUAAUCACCAUGCUUGCUGAAAAAGCUACUCAGUAUUAUAAUUUAUUAGAAGCAUCUAAUAAAGUUUCGGAAGAUAUGAAAAAAGAUUAUAUUAGUAUAACAAAAUCAUUUUUGGGUGGUUUGAAAGCGGUUAGUUGGGAUUUUUCACCUGCAAAUCAAUGUAAAAUUAAAAGAGAUGUCUUUUUAAACUUAAAUCAGCUUAAUAUUGAAAAUUUAAGAACCUGUGUUAAACCUGAAUUUUCAAAACCAUUAAAUUUGGAAGAAUGCAUGAGUCCAUUACAGGUGGUUGAAGACAAAUUACAGCAAAUUACAAUAAAACAAGAAAUUAAUAAAAUGGAUACAUUACCAGAAAUUAAUAAAAUUGAUACAUCACCAGAAAUUAAUAUUAUGGAUAAAUCACCAGAGUCUAUAUCUGAUGAAACUGUAGUUAUCUCGACACAAGCACAAAGUUUAAAUAACACUUUUGUAUUAAAACAAAAUUUAGAUAAAGUAUCUGCUAACCGGUCAGCUACAACCACACCUCAUCGGAAUAAACCUCCUAUUGAUAUGCGUUGUCUAACCAAAUCUAUUACCAAGCCUGCCAUUCAAAGAAAAAAAUUGAUAAUCAAUAAUAAUAAAAAUGGACUUGUUAAUAGAAAAAUAAACCAAGAAAAUUUACCUCUUAUUAUGGCUGCAACUAAGACAUUGGCUGAUCCAUCUCUUGCCAAAGCUGUAACUAAAUCAAGAAUUAAUACCAAUAUAUUAACUCCUAAAUCUGUAAAUACAAGGAUAACUACACAAGACUCAAAUAAGACAUCUAUUUUAAAAAAUCAAAAACCUACAUUGACCAUGAGUUUACAGAAAAACCUGAAAUAACUAUUGGUGAAUGUGCUCAGCUUUUAUGAUUAAUUACUGUAUUUUUAAAAAUCUGAUAUGUGCAACGAAAUUGGCUAUAACAAGUUGAAGAAAUAUUAAAUACUUAAAGACAGUCCUAAUUUAAUAGUUAUAAUCUGAUGAAAUGUGUUUAAUUAACCUAUAAUUUUAUAUAUAUUUGUGUGGACUUUUGUCCUGUUUAG
rnacentral:misc_RNA from 1 species